AUUUAUCGAUUCCUAGCUAUUAUCUUUCACAAAAACUAAUGCCAAAUGGACCAAAGACCCCUAUGAAAGUCCUGAAACAGCUGGUGGAAAAAGUAGGAAAAAUAUUUUGAUGGGCUCAGGUACAACGCUAGCCACUCAGUAAACAAGAUCAACCAUUAACAAAUGGAACUUUGUGAAACUAAAAGACUUCUGUGUGGUAAAUAGUUAACUGAGGGAAGAGACUGCCUACAGACUCAGAGUGGAAGAAAAAAACUCGCCGGCUGUAGCUAUGCAUCUGACAAAGGAUUAAUAUCUCGAAUACACAAAGAACUCAAAUAACCAAACGACAAGACAACACAUGGUACGUUCUACGAAUGGCCCCUGGAACCGAACAAAGGACUCUCGAGAGAAGGAAAUUAAACAGCCAAUAAAUAUUUUUAAAAGUGUUCAACAUCCUUAGCCAUCAGCAAAAUAUGAGCUAAAGCCACUUUGGGAUUUUUAUGCCGCCCCAGUCAGAUGGGCAUCAUCAAGAAAAGAAAGGACAAGAAAUACUGGUCUGAAUGUGGGGAGAGAGGGGCCUGUAUUCCCUCUGGGUGGGAGUGUAACUGAGGCAACCACUAUGGAAAUCAGGGUGGAGGUGUUCCCAAGAGCUAAAUGCAGAGCUGCCAUAUGACCCAGCUACAGCACCCCCUGGGUGUGUACUCAAAGGACUCCUUCCUACCCCAAAGAUACUUCACAACCAUGCUUCUUGCUAUCCUCUUGACAAGAGCAAGGAAAUUGCACCAGCCUAGAUGUCUACCAACUGGUAAGCAGAAUUACAGGUCAUUACCGGCAGCGAUCCCUGGGACUGUCUUCAGUGGGAACGCUUUGUCUGAUAGCUUUGCUACGUUAUGAGACAAUUUUUCUAAGUGACAGAAAGUAAUUAAAAGAUAUCACAGAAAA